AGUGAACGCUGGCGGUAGACCUAACACAUACAAGUCGAACGGCAGCACAGUAAGAGCUUGCUCUUACGGGUGGCGAGUGGCGGACGGGUGAGGAAUACAUCGGAAUCUACUUUUUCGUGGGGGAUAACGUAGGGAAACUUACGCUAAUACCGCAUACGACCUACGGGUGAAAGCAGGGGAUCUUCGGACCUUGCGCGAUUGAAUGAGCCGAUGUCGGAUUAGCUAGUUGGCGGGGUAAAGGCCCACCAAGGCGACGAUCCGUAGCUGGUCUGAGAGGAUGAUCAGCCACACUGGAACUGAGACACGGUCCAGACUCCUACGGGAGGCAGCAGUGGGGAAUAUUGGACAAUGGGCGCAAGCCUGAUCCAGCCAUACCGCGUGGGUGAAGAAGGCCUUCGGGUUGUAAAGCCCUUUUGUUGGGAAAGAAAAGCAGCAGGUUAAUACCCCGCUGUUCUGACGGUACCCAAAGAAUAAGCACCGGCUAACUUCGUG
rnacentral:rRNA from 1 species